rnacentral:rRNA from 1 species
AUUAAUUCGAUGCAACGCGAGGAACCUUACCAAGGCUUGACAUACACCGGAAACGGCCAGAGAUGGUCGCCCCCUUGUGGUCGGUGUACAGGUGGUGCAUGGUUGUCGUCAGCUCGUGUCGUGAGAUGUUGGGUUAAGUCCCGCAACGAGCGCAACCCUCGUUCUAUGUUGCCAGCGCGUUAUGGCGGGGACUCAUAGGAGACUGCCGGGGUCAACUCGGAGGAAGGUGGGGAUGACGUCAAAUCAUCAUGCCCCUUAUGUCUUGGGCUUCACGCAUGCUACAAUGGCCGGUACAAAGGGCUGCGAUACCGUAAGGUGGAGCGAAUCCCAAAAAGCCGGUCUCAGUUCGGAUUGAGGUCUGCAACUCGACCUCAUGAAGUCGGAGUCGCUAGUAAUCGCAGAUCAGCAACGCUG